CGAGCGUCAUUUCAACCCUCAAGCUCAGCUUGGUAUUGGGUGCCACCUUGCAAUAGUGCACCUUAAAAUCAGUGGCGGUGCCAUCUGGCUUCAAGCAUAGUAAAACUCUUGCUUUGGAGGUUUGGAUAUGUGCUUGCCAUCAACCACUAAUUUAUCAAAAGGUUGACCUCGGAUCAGGUAGGGAUACCCGCUGAACUUAA
rnacentral:misc_RNA from 1 species